UACGUAGGGGGGCAAGCGUUGUCCGGAAUCAUUGGGCGUAAAGAGCGUGUAGGCGGCCCGGUAAGUCCGCUGUGAAAGUCCAGGGCUCAACCCUGGGAUGCCGGUGGAUACUGUCGGGCUCGAGUCCGGAAGAGGAGUGUGGAAUUCCUGGUGUAGCGGUGAAAUGCGCAGAUAUCAGGAAGAACACCCGUGGCGAAGGCG
rnacentral:rRNA from 1 species